rnacentral:ncRNA from 1 species
GCGAAGGCUGGAGAAGUCUUGCGGACGAGGUGAACCAGUACCCGCGCAGCGACAAGACUGGUUCAGG